GCAUCAGUUUGGAUUUGUGGCAGGUCCGAUACCACGGGCCUCUCACAGUGUCUCAUGCCAAAGCAAACUGUCACCCUAAACCAUUGUCUGGCUUUAUCUGGUGGCUUUAAGGCACUGAAGCAUGUUGCACAGUG
ensembl:snoRNA